rnacentral:rRNA from 1 species
UACAUAGGGUGCAAGCGUUGUCCGGAUUUAUUGGGCGUAAAGAGCUCGUAGGCGGCACGGUAAGUCAGAAGUUAAAACGCAGAGCUCAACUCUGCGUCGCUUUUGAUACUGCCGAGCUUGAGUAUGGCAGGGGAGAUUGGAAUUCCACGUGUAGCGGUGAAAUGCGCAGAUAUGUGGAGGAACACCAGUGGCGAAGGCGAAUCUCUGGGCCAUUACUGACGCUGAGGAGCGAAAGCGUGGGGAGCGAACAGG